rnacentral:rRNA from 1 species
CCUACGGGUGGCUGCAGUGGGGAAUAUUGGACAAUGGGCGAAAGCCUGAUCCAGCCAUGCCGCGUGUGUGAAGAAGGCCUUCGGGUUGUAAAGCACUUUCAGUGGGGAAGAAAGCCUUGGGGCUAAUACCCUCGAGGAAGGACAUCACCCACAGAAGAAGCACCGGCUAACUCCGUGCCAGCAGCCGCGGUAAUACGGAGGGUGCGAGCGUUAAUCGGAAUUACUGGGCGUAAAGCGCGCGUAGGCGGUCUGAUAAGCCGGUUGUGAAAGCCCCGGGCUCAACCUGGGAACGGCAUCCGGAAUGGUCAGGCGAGAGUGAGGGAGAGGAAGGUAGACUUCACGGGGUAGCGGUGAAAUGCGUAGAGAUCGGGAGGAAUACCAGUGGCGAAGGCGGCCUUCUGGACUGACACUGACGCUGAGGUGCGAAAGCGUGGGUAGCAAACAGGAUUAGAUACCCUAGUAGUC